GUGGGGAAUAUUGGACAAUGGGCGAAAGCCUGAUCCAGCCAUGCCGCGUGAGUGAAGAAGGCCUUCGGGUUGUAAAGCUCUUUCGACGGGGACGAUGAUGACGGUACCCGUAUAAGAAGCCCCGGCAAACUUCGUGCCAGCAGCCGCGGUAAUACGAAGGGGGCUAGCGUUGUUCGGAAUUACUGGGCGUAAAGCGAACGUAGGCGGUGUUCCAUGUCAGAGGUGAAAGCCUGGGGCUCAACUCCAGAAUUGCCUUUGAAACGGGGACGCUUGAGUCCGAGAGAGGAUGGCGGAAUUCCUAGUGUAGAGGUGAAAUUCGUAGAUAUUAGGAAGAACACCGGUGGCGAAGGCGGCCAUCUGGCUCGGUACUGACGCUCAGGUUCGAAAGCGUGGGGAGCAAACAGGAUUAGAUACCCUUGUAGUCC
rnacentral:rRNA from 1 species